GGGUUGUGAGGUUAAGCGACUAAGCGUACACGGUGGAUGCCCUGGCAGUCAGAGGCGAUGAAGGACGUGCUAAUCUGCGAUAAGCGUCGGUGAGGUGAUAUGAACCGUUAUAACCGGCGAUUUCCGAAUGGGGAAACCCAGUGUGUUUCGACACACUAUCAUUAACUGAAUCCAUAGGUUAAUGAGGCGAACCGGGGGAACUGAAACAUCUAAGUACCCCGAGGAAAAGAAAUCAACCGAGAUUCCCCCAGUAGCGGCGAGCGAACGGGGAGGAGCCCAGAGCCUGAAUCAGUGUGUGUGUUAGUGGAAGCGUCUGGAAAGGCGCGCGAUACAGGGUGACAGCCCCGUACACAAAAAUGCACAUAUUGUGAGCUCGAUGAGUAGGGCGGGACACGUGGUAUCCUGUCUGAAUAUGGGGGGACCAUCCUCCAAGGCUAAAUACUCCUGACUGACCGAUAGUGAACCAGUACCGUGAGGGAAAGGCGAAAAGAACCCCGGCGAGGGGAGUGAAAAAGAACCUGAAACCGUGUACGUACAAGCAGUGGGAGCCUCUUAAUGGGGUGACUGCGUACCUUUUGUAUAAUGGGUCAGCGACUUAUAUUCUGUAGCAAGGUUAACCGAAUAGGGGAGCCGAAGGGAAACCGAGUCUUAACUGGGCGUUAAGUUGCAGGGUAUAGACCCGAAACCCGGUGAUCUAGCCAUGGGCAGGUUGAAGGUUGGGUAACACUAACUGGAGGACCGAACCGACUAAUGUUGAAAAAUUAGCGGAUGACUUGUGGCUGGGGGUGAAAGGCCAAUCAAACCGGGAGAUAGCUGGUUCUCCCCGAAAGCUAUUUAGGUAGCGCCUCGUGAAUUCAUCUCCGGGGGUAGAGCACUGUUUCGGCAAGGGGGUCAUCCCGACUUACCAACCCGAUGCAAACUGCGAAUACCGGAGAAUGUUAUCACGGGAGACACACGGCGGGUGCUAACGUCCGUCGUGAAGAGGGAAACAACCCAGACCGCCAGCUAAGGUCCCAAAGUCAUGGUUAAGUGGGAAACGAUGUGGGAAGGCCCAGACAGCCAGGAUGUUGGCUUAGAAGCAGCCAUCAUUUAAAGAAAGCGUAAUAGCUCACUGGUCGAGUCGGCCUGCGCGGAAGAUGUAACGGGGCUAAACCAUGCACCGAAGCUGCGGCAGCGACACUAUGUGUUGUUGGGUAGGGGAGCGUUCUGUAAGCCUGUGAAGGUGGCCUGUGAGGGUUGCUGGAGGUAUCAGAAGUGCGAAUGCUGACAUAAGUAACGAUAAAGCGGGUGAAAAGCCCGCUCGCCGGAAGACCAAGGGUUCCUGUCCAACGUUAAUCGGGGCAGGGUGAGUCGACCCCUAAGGCGAGGCCGAAAGGCGUAGUCGAUGGGAAACAGGUUAAUAUUCCUGUACUUGGUGUUACUGCGAAGGGGGGACGGAGAAGGCUAUGUUGGCCGGGCGACGGUUGUCCCGGUUUAAGCGUGUAGGCUGGUUUUCCAGGCAAAUCCGGAAAAUCAAGGCUGAGGCGUGAUGACGAGGCACUACGGUGCUGAAGCGACAAAUGCCCUGCUUCCAGGAAAAGCCUCUAAGCAUCAGGUAACAUUAAAUCGUACCCCAAACCGACACAGGUGGUCAGGUAGAGAAUACCAAGGCGCUUGAGAGAACUCGGGUGAAGGAACUAGGCAAAAUGGUGCCGUAACUUCGGGAGAAGGCACGCUGAUAUGUAGGUGAAGCGACUUGCUCGUGGAGCUGAAAUCAGUCGAAGAUACCAGCUGGCUGCAACUGUUUAUUAAAAACACAGCACUGUGCAAACACGAAAGUGGACGUAUACGGUGUGACGCCUGCCCGGUGCCGGAAGGUUAAUUGAUGGGGUUAGCGGCAACGCGAAGCUCUUGAUCGAAGCCCCGGUAAACGGCGGCCGUAACUAUAACGGUCCUAAGGUAGCGAAAUUCCUUGUCGGGUAAGUUCCGACCUGCACGAAUGGCGUAAUGAUGGCCAGGCUGUCUCCACCCGAGACUCAGUGAAAUUGAACUCGCUGUGAAGAUGCAGUGUACCCGCGGCAAGACGGAAAGACCCCGUGAACCUUUACUAUAGCUUGACACUGAACAUUGAGCCUUGAUGUGUAGGAUAGGUGGGAGGCUUUGAAGUGUGGACGCCAGUCUGCAUGGAGCCGACCUUGAAAUACCACCCUUUAAUGUUUGAUGUUCUAACGUGGGCCCGUAAUCCGGGUUGCGGACAGUGUCUGGUGGGUAGUUUGACUGGGGCGGUCUCCUCCUAAAGAGUAACGGAGGAGCACGAAGGUUGGCUAAUCCUGGUCGGACAUCAGGAGGUUAGUGCAAUGGCAUAAGCCAGCUUGACUGCGAGCGUGACGGCGCGAGCAGGUGCGAAAGCAGGUCAUAGUGAUCCGGUGGUUCUGAAUGGAAGGGCCAUCGCUCAACGGAUAAAAGGUACUCCGGGGAUAACAGGCUGAUACCGCCCAAGAGUUCAUAUCGACGGCGGUGUUUGGCACCUCGAUGUCGGCUCAUCACAUCCUGGGGCUGAAGUAGGUCCCAAGGGUAUGGCUGUUCGCCAUUUAAAGUGGUACGCGAGCUGGGUUUAGAACGUCGUGAGACAGUUCGGUCCCUAUCUGCCGUGGGCGCUGGAGAACUGAGGGGGGCUGCUCCUAGUACGAGAGGACCGGAGUGGACGCAUCACUGGUGUUCGGGUUGUCAUGCCAAUGGCACUGCCCGGUAGCUAAAUGCGGAAGAGAUAAGUGCUGAAAGCAUCUAAGCACGAAACUUGC
rnacentral:rRNA from 1 species